UACGAAGGGGGCUAGCGUUGCUCGGAAUUACUGGGCGUAAAGGGAGCGUAGGCGGACAGUUUAGUCAGAGGUGAAAGCCCAGGGCUCAACCCUGGAAUUGCCUUUGAUACUGGCUGUCUUGAGUGUGGGAGAGGUGUGUGGAACUCCGAGUGUAGAGGUGAAAUUCGUAGAUAUUCGGAAGAACACCAGUGGCGAAGGCGACACACUGGCCCAUUACUGACGCUGAGGCUCGAAAGCGUGGGGAGCAAACAGG
rnacentral:rRNA from 1 species